GUGUCAGCCGCCGCGGUAAGACGGAGGAGGCGAGCGUUAUCCGGAUUUACUGGGCGUCAAGGGCGCGUAGGCGGCCUGACAGGUCGUGGGUGCAAGCCCCAGGCUCAACCUGGGGAGGUCCUGCGAUACCAUCAGGCUUGAGGAUCGUAGAGGGGGGCGGAAUUCCCGGUGGAGCGGUGGAAUGCGUAGAUAUCGGGAGGAACACCCGAGGCGAAGGCGGCCCCCUGGGCGAUACCUGACGCUGAGGCGCGAAAGCGUGGGGAGCAAAGCGGAUUAGAUACCCUCGUAGUCC
rnacentral:rRNA from 1 species